UUGCAUCUCUUGCCCUCUCUCACUCUGGAAACAGCUCUCCGGACUGUGUGACUCGGCCUUUUCAGUCAGCAGAGCGGGAGCUGAAUCCCUGGGAUCAAGGAAUAUACUGAUGAGAGGAUCACAAAUACCUUCGAGCAGUUCUGUGCUUCCUUUUCUCCAAAGAUCAAAGCAACUAAGAACAUAUACUGUUCCAGAACUGGGCCAUUGAUGGAAAUGUGGUUGGCUAUAGGAUCCCCAAAUAUUGGAGAAUACAUGGGAACAAAUAGCCAUCAGAAAAAAGGAAGGCCUCUGCUACCAGACAAAGGGACUGAGGAGGAAAGGAUAUAAUGGCUUUCUCUCCAAGGGCAAAUUGGAUGGGCUAGCA